GUCAGUCAUAGAUUGUGCAUUCCAAAAGUUGGAGCAAGAUUCUCAAAGUUGGAUUGGCUCUUCUGCAUUUCCAAAAUCUUUUAAAUCCUAUCAGUGUAAUCACCUGAUGCUGAAACCCCUGAAUACAUCCAGAAAUUCUACUUUUGUGCAAAGAGAAAAAUUUUUAAAUGGAGUCAAUUUUUAGACAAAACCAGGACAGGAUGAGAGAGAGGAUCCUAGGGCCUGAGGUCAAUAGGGUACUGUGGCUGUCUUAUCAUUAACACCCUAAACAUUUCUGUAUCUUAUAUAGUCUCAUGCAUCUUUAUCUAACCAGAGACCAAGUUCUCCACACAGAAAAUGAUGCGGUUUUUUCCAGGGCAAAGUUCCUGCUACUUCCUCUUUAUUGCAAUUCCCUCCUCCAUAGGUGUCUAGGACCCUAACUUCUGCCCUCAGGCCCACCUGGCAAUGUCCUUCAGUAACUUCAUGUUUCUUUUUAGAAGGAGGCUGGACAGAAAUACAUAUAUAUCUUCCCUGCUGGUUUUGGUAUUUGGGAAUAUGGCUCUAUGAGAGUUUUAGAAAGUUGAACAGAUUCACUCAAAUUAAUCAGUUAAUAGCUGCUUAGACUACUACGCUUAUUCUUGGGACAUCUGAGCUUUACUAUUCUUUAAAACUAAAAGAAAGACUUUCUAAUGGUGAUAUUUUCAGUGUUAGAAACAAAUAAGAAGGGUAUUAUAUCUCAGUAAAGGAGCCUGACAUUUAUAUAGGUAAUUUGGUCAGGCUGAUCUUAAAGAAAAUGGAAUAAAGAAAUCAAGAAUAUCAGAGCAGAAAGGAGGUAUGCCUGUGCAAGGAUGUUAUUUUUGAGGAGAGAAAACAGACCCAGAGAAACAAAAUGACUUGCCAAACUGCACCAGAGACAUUCCGUGAACUCCAUCAUUAUUUCUGCCCUUGAUUCUCUCUUGAUAUGUAACUACUUGAAUCCAGACUACAUGUUCUAGCCUCCCUUGCAGCUAGGUAUGGUCAUAUGUAGUUUUGUUCUAUGGUAGCAAUGGGAUAUGAAUAGGAGGUUGUGUUUGACUAUGUGGAAGAGUCCUUUUUUUUCACCUUCCUGCUGACUGAAAUACUGACUUGAUGGAUGGAGACGAGUAGCCACCUUGGACCAUGACAUGGAAGUCAUGUGUUUUCUAUUGUGUUCAAGGAAGGCAAUGCAAUAAAGUAGAAGGAAUCUGGGUCUCUGAAACCUGUAUUUCUAGGCUGACUGCUUUCUAGACUUCUUUAUGUAUAAGAGAAAUAGAUAACUGUAUUUGUUUAAGUCACUAUUAUUUUGAACUUUGGUGUUACUCUCAACAUACCUAAUCUAAACUGUAUCAGUAUCAGCUGUAUCAGUAGUCUGGAAAAGUCUUAAUUGAUUCACAUGGCUUGAUGGAGAAAGGCAUAAAGAGUGAUGGACAAGACCUGAUUUUAAGUCUAAGAUAGAAUAUGCUUUAAAUACUUGACAUCAUGAAAUCUCAAAUACUGAUCCACUAACAGCUGCAUAAGAAUUACCUGUCAGAGGAUCCCACAAAUCCAGAUUCCUAGGUUCCUUUCCUAGAGAUUCUGAUUUAGUAGAUUUUCUAUGAGGCCCAAGAACUUAUAUUAUUAAAAAAAACUCCCCAUGUAUUCCUGAUAUCCAGGUACAUUUGGAAAGUAUUUGAUCUAGAAUUUUAUUUGUUGAGAAGGUGAGUCAGAACCACGAGAAAAAAAAUUUUUCUCCCCCAAACAUAGAUGUCUUCAUGGACAUAUGAGAAUGAGAGAUGCGGGAGGGGCAAAUAUUUCGAUGCUCUGAAUUGUGAAAUAAGUGAUUCCACUGGCCGUUUUGAUCCCAUCUUCUCACUGCACCCACCUAGGGUCAUGCAAAAGUCACACUGACAGGCUACUCUCUGUCAGGUUAGCCUUAGUUCAGGUAAACCUACAGUGACAUAAUUGUAUGUGGUUUGUGUUUUUUGUUAUUGUUUUAACAGGUAACAUUUUCUGUGGGAAGUUUAAUCACUUCUAACGUGCAUUACUACAUAUUAAUGAAUCAUAAAUGUAUUUGUGAUGAAAAUAACUACCAUUAAGGUGCAGGAAGAGUUAACUUUUUUAAGAUUCCAGGGUCUCACACAUCACAGGUUGAAGUUUUUGGUGCAUAUAAAAAUCUGCAAGGUCAGCAGAUUCCAUCAAACAGCUGUCAGCCGAAGUUGUCCUAAAAGCACUUGGGCACUCUAGUGGGUUUUCCUGGCAGCCAAGGUGACAGGCACGGGAAAGUGUUACCAGAAGGCAGAUGGUGGCAGGCGUGAGACAUUCCCAGCAGCAGUGGAUAGAGAGGGAUUAUACUAAGCAGCAUGUCCACACCAAAGUAAUCCUUUUACAAGAUCCCCCCAUCAUGUUGACGGUUACAGGCUGCUUGGCAGCUCAGCUCUCCCACCUUCAUCUGGGAAGCUAGAGGACAAAGGCCCUCCACCAGAAGGAAGCCUCUCCUUCACUAGGCCCUCUGCAAAUCUCAGCAGAAAUAAAAUAAAAUAAAACAGAACCACAGAUCCAUUCUAAGACAAACUUUGAAAAGAGUGCCAAGGAUAGCAAAGAUGUAAUUCCAGCGGGGUCACCAACUAACCCAGUCUCGGUCUGGGUGACACUCCAGCAAUGAGAUCCUUACUUCCUGAACCUUCCACCUAGCUCUGCUAUAAUGUGUCCUUGAUCCAAAGGCCACUGUCCAUGCAAAAGUUUUGAAAGAAAAAUGGGAGCUCUCAGAAGUUCCAGGACCCAUUUGCAGCUCACAGAGCCCCCAGUGGAUUAAGUGCCAAUGGAAUUUAGAGAGAAAAAAAAGUCAAACUUACUUCAUCCACAUGCCCCACAGCUCCAUAGAUUCUCGCCAUUUGUCCGAUGAGGUAGGGGAAUCUCUCACCAAUCUCUUUCAGCAUUGGAAGAAAACUGUUCAAAGCCACAGGUUCAUAGCCUGCUAUCUCUAUGAGGAUGUUUAGGAUGACAUCAUUAUGGGUUGAGUCUUUCAAAUGCCUGAUUAGGAAAGGAAUACACUUCUGAACCACCUAUGAAAAGAAAAGAGAGAGGAGGAGAAGAGAAACAAAGAGGAAAAUUAAUUAAAUCAGGACUAAUUUAAUAUUUUUUGAUUUUAUGAAAUCUGAAGUCAACACAUUCUGGGAUUAUUGCCCUCAUUGGAACUCAAGCAAAUACAAGUUUGAAAUUUAGAAUUUACAAUAAAAUUUCAGAGGCUUCAGUUUGUUUCCCUUUUUCAUUUCAUCUGUGCUCUGCUAUUAAAGAGUAACAACAUUACAUCAUAAAAUGUUUAGAUGCUGCUAUUCAUAAGUCAAGUUUUGAUAUGUUAUAUCCUCACCAGAAUAUUAAAUUUCCUCCAAUCCACCAUUAGAGUGCAACUUAAAGGGCAAUAUAAAUAUGUAAAAGAUACUUGACAACUUCAAUGAAAGCCUUCAAAUUGGAGAAGUAUGGCUUGGAAAUAUUUAAUAAUAAAAAUAAGAAAGCAGGAAACAGCCUUUAAAUUUUCUUCAAUUUUCCAUUUUGAUCACAAAAAAGUACUAAGAUAAAAAAUAUUACUAAAGUAAAAUAAUUUCUACCAUAUUCCUGACACCCUAAUAUGGCUUUCUUGAUUUUGAAUGCUUGUAUUAAUAUAAAGAUGCAAUAAUUCAUAUUGAAGAAAAUGUGACUUUUUGUGGAAUAAAGUCACUAUGUUAAUACACAGACACAUUGCACACUGACAACUUAAUGAAUUGUUUUGUCUGCUAAAAUAAAACAAUUAGAAAGGACAACCCGUGGAAACUGAACAGUAAAAAUAAAAACAAUUUGCCCAUCUAUA